GACGUAGGGGACGAGCGUUGUCCGGAUUCAUUGGGCGUAAAGGGCGCGUAGGCGGGAUGGCAAGUCGGUCGUGAAAUCUCUCGGCUCAACCGAGAAACGUCGGCCGAUACUGCCGUUCUUGAGGGAUGCAGAGGAGACUGGAAUUCCCGGUGUAGCGGUGAAAUGUGUAGAGAUCGGGAGGAACACCGGUGGCGAAGGCGGGUCUCUGGGCAUUUCCUGACGCUGAGGCGCGAAAGCGUGGGGAGCAAACGGG
rnacentral:rRNA from 1 species